UGUAGACAGUAUGAUAGAAGAGAUUAAUUCAAUUGAAGAAUGUAUUCGUCAUAUCAAGCACUGGGAGUUCCUCUUGAAGUUAGUGAUGUUCUACCCGCUGACAGUGUCAUGAACAGUGACAUGAAGUCUGAAGUCUGCUUUUCACCAAAUCACAGAAUCAUAAGGAUUGGAAGGGAUCUCUGGGUCCUGUGGUUGCCCAGUGGUUUGCCUCAUUUACAACUGUAGAGCAACUAAGGGACUUUCUAGAGAUCCCUAUUGUCAUCUGGCAAAUGCUUACAAUCGAUGCUGACAAAGUAGUUCUCCUUCAUGGGAUCACUUUUAAGGAAGGAGGAACAGAGAGGUCUGUUUUGCUCAUCUUCCAUGUAUUGAGGCCACCUGAUACGGGACUUCUGGCUUGGGAACGCCUCCUGCUGAAAAGCACUGUAUAAAAGUGCAUCUGCGUUGCCAGUCAACUAACUGUAAGCCCAGAGUCAAUUGUGUCUUCUAGUAGCUGUCUCCUUGAUAACUGGCAGUAGUCCUGGUGCAAGCUUGGCCAUCCGUUCCCUGGAGCUUCUGGAACUCCCCCAGCCAUGGCAGACUCCAAGAAAGAAGAUGACACCCUGAAAAUCCUUUGGCCUUUCCUUCUCCACCUCUGACUCAUUUGGCAGCAGAAUAUCAUUAUGCUUUCUAGUUUUUGUGUUAUCAUACAGGAAAUAAGGAUAUUGUUGUUUUUUUUAUAUUUGUUUCCUUUUCCAUUUAUUUUAUCACUAAUUGAUUUUAAUAAUGUUAUUUAGAAAAAGAAAAGCUAAAUAAGUUAAAGAUUUGAGUAAUGAUAGCAUCAUUGGGAACAAAGAGAAAGUGUGACACUGGAAGUGAUCUUGUGAUGACAUGGAGCAUGAUGGCGCAGUGGAAUUAAAUGAAAAUACUAUCACAGUGCAGGAAAGAGUAUGCCUUUUCAAGUACUUCCCUCCUGAGUCUCUAGCAUAUUGUCACUUCUUUUUUUUUUUGUUCUCUGCAUAUAGCAGAUGUGGUGGAGAACUAGAGAGGUAUACAAAUGUAAGAACAGUAAUGUUUCAUAUGCUUUCUCAGCACAUGAUUGUGUGGUUGCUCAGACUAUUAGCAUACAACAGAAAGAGACAACUGAUCUAUCUGUAGCCACAGCUUGAUGAUCUUAGAUCAAGCAGAUCCUAAGGACAGUGUUUAACAAAGAAAUUUGUAGUAUGAAUUUUCAUUUUAAUAAGAAUGAGUAUACAAUAUGCACAUCAAAAUAUUUACUGUAAAUUUCUCCAUUGAUGUGACAAUAUCAGUUAAUUUCUACAUAAUUAUUUUAAAUAGAAUAUAAAAUCCAGAUGUGAAAUUUUAUGAGUUGUUAGUGAGGAAACAAACAAAGCUUCUGCAUCAAAGGAAUGAUUGCGUUCUGAAUUUUAUUGCAGCAUUAACUUUGUCAGUUGUUGAAAGAAAAAAAAAAAAGAAGGAAGAAAGAAGAAAGAAAAUGAACAAGCAAUCUGGAUAAAUGCUGUUGUUUUAUUUUACAUCUGUACUGACUGUCCAUUUUCUUUGAAGUAUCAGUAUAACUAAACCUUUACUUCAGUAAAAUAAAGUAACCAAUAAUAUCUGGUGACAGCACAGACUUGUUUUCUUUUUUAUGGUUUCCCAAAAUGAUGCUGUAGUUUAUAUUAGAAGUAUAAAGAACAUCUGUUUUAAAUAAUAUCCCCUGGCAUUUGAAUACCUUAAACUGAAACAAUAAAUUGAAGGUAGUGUGUUUUCUGUUAGCUUCAGAACCAAAGUUAGUGUUGCAGCUAGAUUCACCCAUUAGACAUACCUGGAUAAUCACAGGAGCCUAUCAAUAAACUCAAAUCUCUUUGAAAAAGUACAUCUUCCUAUGCAAAAAGCAUUUUAAAAAGUCUGCUUAGGUGUAUAUGAUGUUAUCUCAUAUAAAGACAAUAAGUAGAUAAUAAAUGAUUUUUAAGAGGGAAAAUGUAUAGCAUACCUAUUCUAUCAGAAGUUGCAAUUGAUUGAUAUAAUCUCAGAUUUAGGAUCUUUUCUGAUCCCAAUUAUAUACAUUAAAAAAUAUAUAUCAAAAUUCAUAACAUGUACAACCAUAAAAAUUAUCUCCAGAUCCAAAAACUUGUAGUCCCAUAAUCAUUUUAUAAUUUAAUGGUUUUAAUAAGAAACUCCUUUCCAUUUACGAACACUAUUUUUAUCAUUGCAUUGAUCUUGUUGAUAAUUCUUGAUAAUCACAACCAGAACCAUGAAAUACAUGGCCACAAAUUAUAUUAACAGGUAUAUUCUAAGAAUCUGUACAAAAAGCAAGUGAAUACCAGGACUGAAUUCUUCAGCUGCAGAAGAAAAGCCAGCACUCUAGUCCAGGGAGAUUCAGUCACCUGAUGAAGUACAAGUUCUGAAGCUAUCCUUUAUUUCUCCACAGAGCUUAGAGUCAGAAUAAGGCAUUUUUGACCCUCAUAUUUUACAAAUGGAAAAUGUAAGAGCAAUAUAUUAUCUUGCUCAUUUCACUAUUUUCACUCAUUUUACUAUAAAUUAGACUCUUGCACAAAAGCAGCAAUAAUUUGGGAUUAAACCCAUGAAAAGAUUUAAGUAUAGCAAUUGUAAGCACUAUACUGUCACUUUGAGACAUUUCUCUGUGAAAUGGAAUCUGCCAUCCUGGCUCCAGUGCUUAGACUUCCAAUAAAUGCCUCAAGAAAAUUAGGUCCACAGAAAUAAGAUUGACGAACGGAAUAGGUGCUCAUUUCUAAAGAUAAAAUCUGUAAAAAAAUCCAUAAAGCAGGUAGCAAAUGAGGCCAUUGAGCUACCUACAGGAUUUGAACCCAGAAAUGUAAGCCUCAAUUACCAGAUACUAUUCAGAGUGCUCCUGACACUGGCUGCUUAUUCCAGCUUCUCUGCCAGGGUAUAGCUGGAAGAACUGAUGUUGUUUUUAUGUCUUUCUCCUUUUCAUCUAUUUUCUCAGAAAUUUGAUGCAAUAGAUCAAUAGCUUACCCGUGCUGUGAGAUUAUGCUUACAUCUUUACCCUGCUUAAGGGGAUUUGAACCUUAAUUUUCUGCAGCUCCUGUGAAUGCUCUAAUUUCCAGACAAUAAUAGCUCAAAUAUAAUGCAAUAAGUUUCUAUUUACAUUUCCUGUUGAAACUGUCUUUUUUCUCCCUAUGAAAUAAACACAUAUCUUUUUAGACAAGCAAACAGGAGCAGAAAAACUUCUUUCCAAUAUGCGGUACACUCCUUUGAAUGCAAAGACUGGGGGCCAGAAAGCAAUCACUACUCUAUGCUAAGCAUUCAGUAGAGUAGAUAAUCAAAGAUUCUUUCCCUACCCACUAGCCCGUGAAGUCACGCUUAAAGAUUGAAUACUGAACAUGUAGUCAUUUCCUACUGAGUGGAACAGCUAAGCCAGAAGGGGCUAGAGUGAUGUUCUUGCUUCACCAGGCUGCAGAACAGAAACAAGACUGGUGUUUGCAACACUGGAUCAGGUAAAGGGAUAAAAAGAUGGAUUUUUUUAUUAUUAUUAUUAUUUUUUUCAUUUGAGACUUUCUCAAAAUCUGGAUGAAUAAAGCAAGAAAAAGCAACAUAUCCUCUUGUGCCAGUAACACAUUUUAUUUCAGUCAACAAGUGCUAUGAAUGUUUACAGAAUCUAACCCUGAAGACAAUGCAGGAAAAAGAACAAAUAACUUUUCAUUGUUGUCCAUAUAUAUUUCUGGUAAUAUCUGAAAGCUGUCUCUUCUCAAGGAAAGUUAAGGCAUUCUACUAUUAUGGCUGAUGAAAAAUGAAUUUUUGGAAUCUAAAUUCUGGCAUAGUCAGAGAAUGUUUGAAAGGGACAUUUGGAGGUCCUAUUGUUCAACCUCCCCAGCUCAAGCAGAAUCACCGAGAGCUGGUUGCUAGACAUUUCUUGUAGUCACCUAAAGCAGACUCAGGCAUUUAAAGCAAUUUUCUAAACAGAUUUAGAAUUGUAUGUCUUUUUGUUAGUCCUACUCAGUUGUUGUUUUAAACACGUCACAUACCAGUUAAUCCUUUAAGAGGAGCAUUGUAUUGUUCCCAGAGGGAAGAAAUAAAGAUAAUAAAUAUAAGUGAACCAUCUAUCAACUCAGAAAUAACAAAUACGUAGAACUAAUUUAUUUAUAUUCCAUCACUUUGUUUCCUCAUUGCAUUUGAUUUCUUUCAUCCUAACAGAUGGCCUACCAAUUUGAAGUUAUUCCAUUGAAACACACAUGAAUCAGUACUGAAAAACUGUUGUUGUGAAUGAAUUAAGCAUUCGCUGAUAACAUGAAAACGUUUUUGUUUUUGCUUUCCCCUCUGUAGUCUGCUUUGAUGUACUCUCUCCUGCAAAUGUUAAGGUCAGAGUUUCAAACAGAUUUUCUGACCCAUGGAUGUAGCCAGUGUUCUUGUUAAAAAGCAAAUUGUGAGCAGAGAACUGUCCAGAUGAUUGAAAUGACAGCAGCACCCAGCAUCAUGUGAGAAUUUAUGGACACUUAAUUACAGGUUUUGUACUGAGACUGGGGGUACCAGACAACCAAAAAUGUUCUGAAUUUUUAGUGUAUUUGAGAUAGGAAUAAUGAUGACAAAUCAUGGAAUCAGGGAAUCAUAGAAUGGCUUGGGUUAGAAGGGACCUAAAGGAUCAUUAUGUUCCAAUCCCCUUAUCACAGGCAGGACUGCCAGCUGCUAGACCAGGUACUAGAUCAGCUUCCCCAGGGCCCUAUCCAUCCUGGCUUUGAAAACCUCCGGAGAAGGUACUGCAAAUUACAGCACACCUUUUUGCCCACUACCUUGGAACAAUGCUUGCUGCCUUCUUGCCCAUAGUCAAUCACUGUGGCCAUAAUUUCCACCUGGCUUCUGUUAGCUGUUCCAAUGGUCAUGGGAAGUCAGCUCACAACCCAGCACUCAGCCACACUGAAGGGACACUGAAAUACACAGACAUUUAAUAAUGAUAAUUACAGUGAUGAUGAUUAAAGAGAUACUAGUAAUAAUAGUUUGAAUGAAAGUAAUGGUGCAUGGACCAUAAUACUGCUUUGUUUUCAGGUAUUCCCACCUUUUGAUAGCUCUGUAAACCUACUGAUCAAAACCAACUUUAUGGCAGUUUGAGUUGCUUCUUCCUGCUAUUCCUUGAUUUUCUACCCCAAAAGAUCUUCUUUUUCUCAGCACAUUUCACUAUUCCUUAUGAGCAAAUGCUUCCGUUCAAUUCAGGUCAAAGCUCAAAGUUUUUCCUCAGUUGGAAGAAUUCAGCUAUUGUUAUUUUGCUACCACAAUUUAGCGAGAUUCAGAAAUCCUGAUAACACCAUACUACUUUUCAUCUUUCAACUAUGAUAUGGGUGAUGAUGGUCCCUAAGCUAUUUUUUACAGCUGAGAUGGUCAUGGCUUAAUUAAUAAAAAGCAGGUACUGUACCCAUGGCAACUGAUCCAAUGUGUAUAGACUUGGCAUACAAAUGCAAUAUAAUAUAAUAAAUAUAAUAAUGUGCAUUGGUGUGCAAACGCUGGCAGAGACCUCUGGGUUGAGGCAACUUUACUUGAUGUCUUUGAAAAAAAACACUAGAAAAUCUGCAAUCAUGAGCAAGGUACAAAAAUUUUUGUGUUAACUAAAUACUUGCAUUUUACCUUUACAUUUUCUCCCUUAUUUAAGACCUGUAGAUUUUAAUACAUGGUGUUCUCAUAUGAGAUCUGGAAAACAAUAUAUUCCUAUUUACCAAGCAUAAUCACUAAUGAGUUUAUGUGGUUUUCCAAACCAGGCUAUUAUUUUUCAAAGUAGAUUUGAAUUCCAACUGAACUAAUAAGACUCAAUGAGAAGUUUGCUAAAAUGCAAGGUUUGAUUGGCCUGAAGUUGUACUCAACACAGUAUAUCACAGUAUCUCGACUGAAGUGGUUUUCAUUGGCAGGAAGCCAGCAAGGAUUCAAUCAGAUGUUCUACACUCCACCUGUUGCUCUUCUCUUCUCUUCUCUUCUCUUCUCUUCUCUUCUCUUCUCUUCUCUUCUCUUCUCUUCUCUUCUCUUCUCUUCUCUUCUCUUCUCUUCUCUUCUCUUCUCUUCUCUUCUCUUCUCUUCUCUUCUCUUCUCUUCUCUUCUCUUCUCUUCUCUUCUCUUCUCUUCUCUUCUCUUCUCUUCUCUUCUCUUCUCUUCUCUUCUCUUUCCUCAAAGGAAUUUCAAUACAAUUCUUGCUCUAUUCUGUUACAAAUUCUGUUACAGAGCUGUGAGAAAAGCUAGGUAAUAAAAGUAACAGAUUAAGGACAGAAUUAUGUCACAGACAGUGAAAAAUAGCAGUACUCAAAAUAUAGUACAAGAAGUUAGAUUUAAUGAAUCCUUUGAAAUUCUCCACAUUCUUCUGCCUCUUCACAACGUUUCUGUUAUGAAGCUUUGCAUUGUAGUGUUGUGUGUGUUUUUUUUCUCUUCAUCGAAAAAAAUAGGGCUUCAUUUUGAGACAGUAGCACAGUAACUCAUUAGGUAGUACGUAAACCAGAAAGGAGAGUCAAUUUUAGGAAAAAAAUUGACAGGAUGUGGUGCUCAGAGAUACAAUUUAGCAGAGGGUUGUUAGAGUUAGGGUACUAUGGUUAGGCUGCAGUUGGACUUGAUGAUCUUUGAGGUCCUUUCCAACCUGAGUAAUUCUAUGAUUCUAUGGUACAAAGUAUAACUUAUAAGAAAUAUUUACAUCUAGACUAAUCUUCAGUUCUUCCCAGCUAUUUAAAAAACUUGUCAGUGUUGUAGGAAGAACUGGCAUCUUCUUGCUCAAGAAUUUUCCACUGUCAUUAUCUGCCAGCCUAGAAUAGGAAAGAUCUACUAAAUAAGAUCUGUUGGCUCAGAAAGCCCUUAAAUCCAGCUUUCUUUCUUAUCAUCUUUUAAAUGUAGUAAUAUGUUGGAUAUCUUUAGAAGACAUUUUUUCUUUUGGCAUGAGAACUGUGGGAGAAAGAAGCAGUUAGAUGAAAGUAUAUGCUGCUAUAUUCAUUCAAAAAUUGCCAUUUGAGAGUGAGCAAGAGUCCACCCAGCCUGUUAUUUUGUCUUUGUUUAUGGUGGCUUCUAAAGAAUGCAAUUAAAGAAGCCAUAAUACGCUUAAUUGUGUUAUAGUACAGCAGUAGGCUUUUCACAUCUGUUCCCAUAGCAACAACAACACUGCAGAAACAAGUUGUUCAGGCUAUAGCCUAUGUCACACUGGUAUGGGGAAGCUCUCCCUGUCAGGGAAAUAACAGUAACUUUCUAGGCUUCAAAAUGCACAAUUUAGAAUUGUACUACUAAAAAUGCAUUGCUUAAAAAGAGUUUUAUUGUACCAAAUGUGAAUGAACUGCAUUUGAGAUAUAUAUAGUUCUAUUCAUAAAAAUAAUUAUAUUUUUUUCUAGUGACAUCAUUUUAAAGAGAAAGAAUUUUGCUGGCUAUAGACGUUAGAGGUUUUAAAAUGACUUUGAAUUCUGAUAACCGUACUUUACCUGGAAAGUUAUAAUAAAUAAACAAAAGUAGACAAUUCUUAAUCAGGCCAAACUUUGGUUUCAUUAAAGUAGUGUGAUCAUUAGUAGCAUAUUUUGUACCAUUCUUCAGUACAUAGAUGAAUGUUUAUUGGUGACUUGCUUUUAAAGAGUUGAGAUUUUCAUAAUGUACAAGAUGUAAGAACAUAAUCACUUUUCCUUACUAGAGUCACUGUAUGAAGUGAGGUUCUAUUAAAAAUUGCAAUCAUAAGUACAUUAUUGUCAAAUGUUUUAGCUAUGUUGUAUUAGAAGUGAACAAGAGAAGUAUUGUGUUAGAGAAAAAAAAAUAAAUGAAAGGACUAUGAAUAUA